GCAUUAUAAAAUAUCUUCAUCGGGACCAACUUGACUUAAUUUAUCCUUUCCUCAUAUACGGGUUAUACGAUACGUCGAUACGGAUACGCCAGCAAAUACGUAAAUAAUGCAAAUGUUCUCUUAGGAGGUAAUAUAAAACGGAUAAGACUUCUGUUUAGACCUCCCUCAAAACGGGCAAACAAUGUUCCAUGCAGACGACGAUAAUAGAUCUCUAAGUAUAGCACCAGUAGAAUGCUUGUAAAUCGGCCUGAAAUGCAUACUUCGAUUGUUUUACUGAUUGUUAAAAAAACAAGGCGGAAGAUACCAAAAUGAACAAUCGAAAUACAUAAGUCGAGGAGAAACCGACAAACCAUUGCCAAAAAAAAGACCAGUCUACAAAACUCUACAUAGAAAACUAAAGACUGAGCAAUACGAGCCCCGCCUGAAACCAGGAGUGAUAAGUUUCUAAGAUGAAAAUAUUUUUUAUGAUAUGAAU